rnacentral:lncRNA from 1 species
AAGUGCAUAUUACAGAGUAAGCACUACAUGUAUUGUAGGAGAAGAAUCUGUAAGGUGCUCUGAAAAGAGAGAAGAAAGUGGCAUUUUACUAUUCAGGAACGGGAAGGGCCUCAGAAGAAUGGGACUUUGCAGACCAAGGACAAGAGGCAGUAGCCGCACGGAAAGUUCUAUCAGAUGGUUCCCUGACCAGGAAAGGCAGAUGAGAGACUGCUGGUGAGUCCCCUGCCAUUCAUGGACCAGACUGCAUACUGGAUUAAUUCCUCACUUCUCAACACGUGGGAGCUGCUAAACUUGUCGAUGCUGGUUUGCAAACAACACUGAUCUAAUUCAUUUACCACAGGUGAGCAAACUCCGGAGAUUACUUGGCACUGGGCCAGCCCCUACGUGGGUUUUCUUUGCAUUCCCUGGACUCGAGUGGUACUCUCA